GACGGAGGAUGCAAGCGUUAUCCGGAAUGAUUGGGCGUAAAGCGUCCGCAGGUGGCAGUUCAAGUCUGCUGUCAAAGACCGGGGCUUAACUUCGGAAAGGCAGUGGAAACUGAACAGCUAGAGUAUGGUAGGGGCAGAGGGAAUUCCUGGUGUAGCGGUGAAAUGCGUAGAGAUCAGGAAGAACAUUGGUGGCGAAGGCGCUCUGCUGGACCAUAACUGACACUCAGGGACGAAAGCUAGGGGAGCGAAUGGG
rnacentral:rRNA from 1 species